GGGUCGGUGUCCGAGUGGUUAAAGGAGACGGAUUGUAAAUCCGUUACAGUAAUGUUACGUUGGUUCGAAUCCAACUCGGCCCA
rnacentral:tRNA from 1 species